AAGAGCUGGUGCACCUGUUGCUGCCUCAGCCCUGUGCAAACCAGCUUCAAAAUCUAUGCAAGAAGGCUGGGGCAGUGGUGGGGAUGAAAUGAACCUCAGUACCAGCCAGUGGGAGGAUGAAGAAGGGGACGUGUGGAAUAAUGCUGCUUCCCAAGAAAGCACCUCCUCCUGCAGUUCCUGGGGGAACGCCCCCAAAAAAGGACUUCAAAAGGGCAUGAAGACGUCUGGCAAGCAGGAUGAGGCCUGGAUCAUGAGCCGGCUGAUCAAACAACUCACAGACAUGGGCUUCCCGAGAGAGCCAGCUGAGGAGGCCUUGAAGAGUAACAAUAUGAAUCUUGAUCAGGCCAUGAGCGCUCUGCUGGAAAAGAAGGUGGACGUGGACAAGCGUGGGCUGGGAGUGACCGACCAUAAUGGAAUGGCCGCCAAGCCCCUCGGCUGCCGCCCGCCAAUCUCCAAAGAGUCUUCCGUGGACCGCCCCACCUUUCUUGACAAGGUAUGAAUAUAGGUGGUUUAUUGUUUUUGCUUUUUUAACAAGAGGAGUUUUUCAUUUCAACUGUGUCCUUAAUACAAGCCAGAUUAAAAACUUGCUGGACUAUAAUA
rnacentral:sRNA from 1 species